rnacentral:rRNA from 1 species
AUUGAACGCUGGCGGCAUGCCUUACACAUGCAAGUCGAACGGUAACAGGUUAAGCUGACGAGUGGCGAACGGGUGAGUAAUGUAUCGGAACGUGCCCAGUCGUGGGGGAUAACUGCUCGAAAGAGCAGCUAAUACCGCAUACGACCUGAGGGUGAAAGCGGGGGAUCGCAAGACCUCGCGCGAUUGGAGCGGCCGAUAUCAGAUUAGGUAGUUGGUGAGGGAAAGGCUCACCAAGCCGACGAUCUGUAGCUGGUCUGAGAGGACGACCAGCCACACUGGGACUGAGACACGGCCCAGACUCCGACGGGAGGCAGCAGUGGGGAAUUUUGGGCAAUGGGCGCAAGCCUGAUCCAGCCAUGCCGCGUGCGGGAAGAAGGCCUUCGGGUUGUAAACCGCUUUUGUCAGGGAAGAAAAGGUUCUGGCUAAUACCCGGGACUCAUGACGGUACCUGAAGAAUAAGCACCGGCUAACUACGUGCCAGCCGCCGCGGUAAAAC